UACGUAGGGGGCGAGCGUUGUCCGGAUUUAUUGGGCGUAAAGAGCGUGUAGGCGGUUCGGUAAGUCUGUCGUGAAAUCCUGAGGCUCAACCUCGGGCGUGCGAUGGAUACUGCCGGGCUAGAGGGUGGUAGAGGGGAGUGGAAUUCCCGGUGUAGCGGUGAAAUGCGCAGAUAUCGGGAGGAACACCAGUAGCGAAGGCGGCUCGCUGGGCCACACCUGACGCUGAGACGCGAAAGCUAAGGGAGCGAACAGG
rnacentral:rRNA from 1 species